rnacentral:sRNA from 1 species
GCUCCUGCUUCUGAACCAGUUCCAUGAUGUGGUGACUGGAAGCUGCAUCCAGAUGGUGGCAGAGGAAGCCAUGUGCCACUAUGAAGACAUCCGUUCCCAUGGCAAUACACUGCUCAGCGCCGCAGCCGCAGCCCUGUGUGCUGGGGAGCCAGGUCCUGAGGGCCUCCUCAUCGUCAACACGCUGCCCUGGAAGCGGACCGAAGUGAUGGCCCUGCCCAAACCAGGCGGGGCCCACAGCCUAGCCCUGGUGACAGUGCCCAGCAUGGGCUAUGCUCCUGUUCCUCCCCCGACCUCGCUGCAGCCCCUGCUGCCCCAGCAGCCUGUGUUCGUAGUGCAAGAGGUGAGUCCUGCAUGUCCUGGGGGGCAGGAGCUGUGCUGGGAUACUUUCUAACAACUGAGGGUCCUGAGCACCCCUGCCUGGAGCAAGUGGUGAGGCGGGGCUGGGGUUGGGGUGGGAAGACUUUUGGUGUGGGAAGCCCCUACAGACUCAGCCUCAAGGCCUCCUCCCACAAAGACUGACGGCUCCGUGACUCUGGACAAUGGCAUCAUCCGAGUGAAGCUGGACCCAACUGGCCGCCUGACGUCCUUGGUCCUGGUGGCCUCUGGCAGGGAGGCCAUUGCCGAGGGUGCCGUGGGGAACCAGUUUGUGCUAUUUGAUGAUGUCCCCUUGUACUGGGAUGCAUGGGACGUCAUGGACUACCACCUGGAGACACGGUAUGGGCUGGGCAGCAUGUGGGGAUGGUGGAGGUAGUGGGAACACAGGCUGCUCUGGAUC